AACCUCCGCAAUGUGAGAAAUCGCGACGGGGGGAUCCCAAGUGCCAUUCUUAACGGGAUGGCUUUUCAUUAGUGUAAAGAGCUUUUGGAAUAAGAGCUGGGCAAGACCGGUGCCAGCCGCCGCGGUAACACCGGCAGCUCUAGUGGUAACAAUUUUUAUUGGGCCUAAAGCGUCCGUAGCCGGUUUAAUAAGUCUCUGGUGAAAUCCUGUAGCUUAACUGUGGGAAUUGCUGGAGAUACUAUUAGACUUGAGACCGGGAGAGGUUAGAGGUACUCCCAGGGUAGAGGUGAAAUUCUGUAAUCCUGGGAGGACCGCCUGUUGCGAAGGCGUCUAACUGGAACGGUUCUGACGGUGAGGGACGAAAGUUAGGGGCGCGAACCGGAUUAGAUACCCGGGUAGUCCUAACUGUAAACGAUGCGGACUUGGUGUUGGGGUGGCUUGGGCUGCUCCAGUGCCGAAGGGAAGCUGUUAAGUCCGCCGCCUGGGAAGUACGGUCGCAAGACUGAAACUUAAAGGAAUU
rnacentral:rRNA from 1 species